GGCGUCGAACCCGGAAGCAUGACAAUUAGCCCCCAAGGCUCUAACCAGUAGAGCUGACUCAUCCCGGCAAACAAGAUUGUUUAGGUGUUUCACAUGUCGGAGGCAACUUCGGUUCCGCUUCGUCGGUAGUUUUCUUCGUUGGGCGACUUUUUUUGUUGUGUAUCUUUAAGCUAAUCAGAGUUUUUCGUCGUAUCUUCAUUUUCUAUCUUCGAUUUGCAUGAAUCACUUCUUCCCGUUUUAAUGAUCGAUGAUCAUUUGGAGCUCAAAUUAGAAAACUGGCGAGCAUUGCAUGUGGGUUUCAAGACGGAUUUGACGACAAAGCUUCAUGCGUCAUCUCCAAAUAGACGAUCAGAGGGAUGAUCGGAAAGUUGAACGGAGCGCACUGGUGAGCAGAACUGGAUGGAUGACUAGGGAAACAUCUCAGCCCCCCAGUGACCUUUCUUAGCACAUGUAACGUUUGUAUUACAGUUAUCUUUAAGGUUUGUAUUGGGCUCUUAGACCAUCUCCGUUUGUAUUCUAAUGAUUAGUUUAAUUGUAAAUUUUGUAAUUUGUGAAGUUUAGAACCUUUUGUAACGUAAUUAAAUUUGUGAAGGUCCAAUGAUAAAACUCCUUUGAAGUUUUUAAAAA